rnacentral:rRNA from 1 species
UACGUAGGGUGCGAGCGUUGUCCGGAAUUACUGGGCGUAAAGAGCUCGUAGGUGGUUUGUCGCGUUGUCCGUGAAAACUCACAGCUUAACUGUGGGCGUGCGGGCGAUACGGGCAGACUGGAGUACUGCAGGGGAGACUGGAAUUCCUGGUGUAGCGGUGAAAUGCGCAGAUAUCAGGAGGAACACCGGUGGCGAAGGCGGGUCUCUGGGCCGAUACUGACGCUGAGGAGCGAAAGCGUGGGGAGCGAACAGG